rnacentral:rRNA from 1 species
AGAUGGCGACCGGCGCACGGGUGAGUAACACUAUCCAACCUGCCGAUAACUCGGGGAUAGCCUUUCGAAAGAAAGAUUAAUACCCGAUGGUAUAAUCAGACCGCAUGGUCUUGUUAUUAAAGAAUUUCGGUUAUCGAUGGGGAUGCGUUCCAUUAGGCAGUUGGUGAGGUAACGGCUCACCAAACCUUCGAUGGAUAGGGGUUCUGAGAGGAAGGUCCCCCACAUUGGAACUGAGACACGGUCCAA